UUUUUUUUUUUUUUGUUAUUUCCUUUUUCUAUGUCAACUGUAGUAAUGAAAAUGUUAAAAGGCAAAAAGCGGAAGGAACAGACACCUAAUACACUGUCGUUUUGGUCGGCCUCAACCUGAAAGGCUGAAACCGACAAUAAUUCAGAAAGUCUCUCUCUGAUUGUCUCCUCAAUCUUUUCUGCAUGCAUAAAUCCAGAACCGAGUAAUCAUACAGAAGAAACUGAGGGUUCAAUACGUCGUCGCUGUGAGUUGCAAAAAAUGUAUCAGUGGAGGAAAUUCGAGUUCUUCGAGGGAAAAUAUGGGGAAAGAAUCACAAUCCCGGAGGAGAUCAGUGGCAAAAUUGAAUGUUGUUCCAGUGGCCGAGGAAAAGUUGUACUGGGAUGCGACGACGGCACCGUUUCGUUGCUGGAUAGAGGGCUCAAGUUCAAUUCUCAAUUCCGAGCUCAUUCUUCUUCGGUCCUCUUCCUUCAACAACUCAAGGUAGCGUGGCUUCACAUUUGAUCAAUUUUCUGUCAGAUUUCGGAGCAUUAGUAUACUAGCAGUAAGUCUUAGUUUAAUUAUCAUUUCGUUGGCAAACUGAUUGUUCCGUUUGCUGGCUGCAUGAUCAGCAAAGGAAUUAUUUGGUGACUGUUGGAGAAGAUGAGCAAUUGUCCCCGCAAUUUUCAGCGGUGUGUAUGAAGAUUUUUGAUCUGGAUAAGGUUCAACAGCAGCAUGAGGAGGAGGGUCCCAGCACCUUCAGUCCCGAUUGUGUUCAGAUUUUGCGAAUUUUUACUAACCAGUUUCCUGAAUCUAAGGUAUACUAGGAUCGUGAAUGUUGCUUUUUAGCAAUUUAUUGCAUCCAUUUUUAAUAGGUUAAUUUGGUUAAGAGACCCUGCUUAGAUAGUCCUAAUUAACGAAUGAAAGGGCAAAUUUUUGGCCUAUAUGCUUAACGGGUACAGAAUUUACUGCUAAAUUUAUUAGAAAAAUGUAGAUACUGAUGUCCUGUAAAGCUGUGCUCUCUUUAUAGAUUGAGUAUUCGAGCUUGCCGCUUUUGACAACUUUUAUGUUUUAAUGUAUAUGAUGUUGGUUUUGGUUUGUCAAAAGGAGUAUAAUUAGAAGAACUAUUAUUGAUGUGUGCAGAUUACGUCCUUCUUAGUAUUGGAGGAGGCUCCACCUAUAUUGCUUGUUGCUAUUGGAUUGGAUAAUGGUUGUAUCUAUUGCAUUCAAGGGGACAUUGCUCGUGAGCGUAUCAAACGCUUCAAACUUCAAGCAGAUGCUUCCAUUACGGGCCUAGGGUUCCGAGUGGAUGGUCAGGUUCUUCAGCUAUUUGCAGUUACUCCAAGUUCAGUACAUUUGUUUAACUUGCAUACUCAACCUCCUACUGGUCAAAUGCUCGAUAAUAUUGGAUCCGAUGUCCCUAGUGUUGCUAUGAGUGAUCGCUCGGAGCUGAUCAUUGGACGACCAGAGGCAGUGUAUUUUUAUGAAGUUGAUGGUCGGGGACCUUGUUGGGCUUUUGAGGGAGAGAAAAAAUUUCUUGGAUGGUUUCGUGGAUAUUUGUUGUGUGUUAUUGCUGACCAAAGUACUGGAAAGUAUUCUUUCAAUGUUUAUGAUCUGAAAAAUAAGUUGGUUGCACACUGUGUUGUAGUCAAAGAAGUUUCUCACAUGCUUUGUGAAUGGGGUAAUAUAAUACUCAUUAUGGCUGACAAAUCAGCCCUAUGUAUUGGUGAGAAGGACAUGGAAAGUAAACUAGAUAUGCUUUUUAAGAAGAGUCUUUAUACAGUAGCCAUCAAUAUUGUACAGACCCAACAAGCUGAUGCUGCUGCAACUGCUGAGGUGCUGAGGAAAUAUGGGGAUCAUUUAUACUGUAAACAAGAAUAUGAUCAGGCUAUGCAUCAGUACAUAGACACAAUUGGUUAUCUCGAACCCUCGUAUGUUAUACAGAAGUUUUUAGAUGCACAAAGAAUUCACAACCUUACCAAUUACUUGGAGAAAUUACAUGAGAAAGGACUUGCAUCAAAAGAUCACACCACUCUGCUCUUAAACUGUUACACCAAACUGAAAGAUGUCGAGAAGUUGAAUCUGUUCAUCAAAAGUGAUGAUGGUGGUGGGGAAACUAAAUUUGAUGUAGAGACUGCUAUAAAAGUGUGCCGAGCUGCAGGUUAUCAUGAGCACGCGAUGUAUGUUGCGAAAAGGGCUGGGAAGCAUGAAUUGUACUUGAAGAUUCUGCUUGAAGACUUGGGGAGGUAUGGUGAAGCAUUGCAAUACGUCAAUAGUCUUGAACCAAGUCAAGCUGGUGUAACAGUUAAAGAAUAUGGUAAAAUUCUGAUUGAGCACAAGCCUGCUGAGACAAUUGAUAUACUUAUGAGGCUAUGUACAGAAGAAGAACCAGCCAAAAGGGGCACCUCAAGUAGCACAUAUGUGUCGAUGUUGCCAUCUCCUGUUGAUUUUAUUAAUAUCUUUGUUCAUCAUCCCCAGUCACUUAUGGAGUUUCUUGAAAGAUAUACUAGUAAAAUGAAGGACUCACCUGCUCAAGGAGAAAUUCAUAACACGCUCUUGGAAUUGUAUUUAUCCCAUGACCUGGACUUCCCAUUCAUCUCGCUGACAAAUACUGGUGAAAAUGGUGCUGUGAUUUCUAAAGGACAUUCCAAUGGGAGAACAUUUAUUAAUCGACCAGAUGUAAGUGAGGGAAAAGAUCGUCGGGAAAGAUUUCAAAAGGGUCUAAACUUGCUUAAGGGUGCAUGGCCACCAGAACAAGAUCAACCAUUGUAUGAUGUUGGUCUGGCCAUAAUUUUGUGUGAAAUGAAUGCUUUUAAGAAUGGGCUUUUGUUUCUUUACGAGAAGAUGAAACUGUAUAAAGAGGUGAUUGCCUGUUACAUGCAAGCACAAGACCAUGAGGGUUUAAUAGCAUGCUGCAAAAGACUUGGGGAUUUGGGGAAAGGUGGUGAUCCUUCUCUUUGGGCAGAUGUACUGAAAUAUUUUGGUGAACUUGGGGAAGACUGCUCCAAAGAAGUAAAAGAAGUGUUGACUUACAUUGAGAGGGAUGACAUUCUACCACCUAUUGUUGUUCUUCAGACCCUUUCUAGGAAUCCAUGCCUCACUCUCUCUGUCAUCAAGGAUUAUAUAGCUCGCAAGCUGGACCAUGAGUCAAAGCUCAUUGAAGAAGAUCGAAGAGCCAUUGAGAAGUACCAGGUCUGUGUUCUUUAUAAAGUAUAUACAUUAGACAGCUUCUUUUUGUCACCAAAAUCCUUUUGAGUGUGCGUGCCAAUGGUUCUGAAUCACCUUUGAGUAGGAUAGAUCGCUUUAUGACUUCUAAGGGCUUGGACAUGCAGCAAAUUUGGUCUCUCUCUGUCUCUGAAUUUGCAGAUGGGUUAAUGUUUUUAGAUAUCUAAACCAAACGUUAAGUUGUAGCAUUCUGUAAGUUCUGGAAAGACUCAUUUGUUGGAUUGUGAGAACACGCUUUUGUGCAAACGUUUGAACUUUUACUUAUGUAGUGUGUUUUAUUUGAUUUUAGAUAAAGUAAAUGAGUUGAGGUCAUAAAUAUAACAAUCAUUUACUGCUUUUAUAAAAAUCUUAGUCUUAGUAAAGUGUGUGGCCUUGGGAAUACGAGCAGGAGGGUGCUGGGACAAGGGAGGGGAAACAUGGGAAAUGUGGUGCCAAUUUUGUUGAGGUUUGCAGUUGGGGAUUGUGGGGUUCAGCAAAGCAGAUCCAAAGAUGAAAAGAAACUGAAAGGAAAAAGGCCCAAGGCUCUGGUUCUGUUUGGGUAACACAGGGUUUGGUGCUUAUGCUCAAGCAUUAUAGUGUGCACUGACUCUAGAAUGGAGAAUUUGCUGAGGUUAAAGUGGAUACCAGAAGAGUUGUCUAUGCCAAACAUUUAAAUUAUCUUCUAAACGCUUCUUGGUGAUUAUGUGACAUAAUCUUGGGCUGCCCAUGUCAACCAAUUUCAGUUUGUUAGCCUUGACGUUUUGCAGUUAGUUAACUUGGGGUCUUUUCAUUUUUUUGUUUUGUUUUUUUGGAAAAAAAAGGGGGGGGGGGGGGGGGUUGGUGUUCAUAUACAAGGUUUUCUUUUUGGAAGUACUAGGUUUUGCAUUUUAUGGACUCCUUUUGUAGUCUAGAAAAACAGUGCACAAUUGUGUACCUCUCUUGCCACUUUUCCAAUUUUUGGUCAUGCAUUAAAUUUUGUUAAUCACCCAAGUCCCAACCUAUGAUGGAAGAGGAAGAAAGGAGGUUCAUGGGUAGGUGUUUUUGUGCUAAAAUAUAUACACACAAGGAAGUCAGAUAUUACUUUCCUGACAUUCAGUUUGCCUGUGUAUGCCUUACAAGCAGAGAAAGUAAUUAGUAUGCCGCAUGUGCAGUCUGCUUCAUUGUUACUGUUCAUGGAAAUAGUUUUCUUGUUUAUGCAAGUCUAAUUGUUUUCUUUUGAGCUGGAAAUAGUUUCUUCAUUCCUUAGGAUGGGUUGCAAGCAUAUCCAGUCUGCUCCAUCAUUACUAUUUACAGAAGUAGCUUUCUUUUUAUGUAAUUCUAACCGUUCUCUUUUAAGCUAAAAUAGUGUUCUUCAUUCCUUAGGGUGGGUUGCAAGCACCAUGUGCCUUGUACCUUAUUACGACAUGCUCUUGCACCAUAAAAUUCUUUUCUGCUGGGUUAUUAAUGCAAUUGAAAUUUUAUGACAUCUCUCUUAUUCUGCAGGAAGAAACAUCAGCAAUGAGAAGAGAAAUUCAGGAUCUCAGGACAAAUGCAAGAAUAUUUCAGCUUAGCAAGUGUACUGCAUGCACUUUUACACUUGAUCUUCCUGCUGUGCAUUUCAUGUGUAUGCAUUCAUUUCACCAGCGCUGCCUUGGUGACAAUGAGAGAGAAUGCCCUGAGUGUGCUCCAGAGUACAGAUCUGUCUUGGAAACCAAGAGAAGCCUUGAGCAAAAUUCCAAUAACCAAGAUCAGUUCUUCCAGCAUGUUAGAAAUUCGAAAGAUGGGUUCUCUGUGAUUGCUGAAUACUUUGGGAAGGGGAUUAUUAGCAAAACUAGUACCAGACAGGCCGGUGCUUAGAUGAAAUGCGUUACUUUCAACCCAACUUCCAUCUUAUGUGUGCAAAUCUUUGUUUCUCUUUAUGGAAGUUCAACAGGAGAAUGUAGCAAUUAAUAAUGAGUAUAGCCAAGUCUUGAUUCAUUGCUAUAGUCAUCAACAAAAGUAUAUGUCGCGAGAAUGUGCGUCUAGAAGAACAUCAAAACAUAUGCGGUCUUGCUGAAUUUUGCCGUCUCUAUCGAACUUCAAACCAAGUUUGCGAGUGUGUUAUGUAUGUUUCAAGUUCCACGUAAUCCCCAAAUCUCUUCAUUUCAAUUUGAAUUUAAGCUACAUGGUGUAUUGUGCCUUUCUCCAACUUUGGGUUGUUCUAAUGGCAGGUUUUUGUCUCUGACUUUUGGGUUGUUCAAACGGCAGGUUUUUGUGAUACUUCAUGUAAUCAUGGUUUAUAUUGAAAUUCUUGAUGGUUCAACGAUUUUGUAAAAGAUUCACAAAAUAUUGACUGAGAAGUAUUUCUAACUGGGGCUCCAUGCCCAGAUGAGCUAUUAUUAUAAGCUGUGCAGAUGUUUUUUAAUCUUGGACCAAAUCUUUACUUCUGGAGAAUUGGUGAGCAAGAAGGCUUCAAGUCGACCUUUUCGUAGGCUAUUGGAACGCAGAUUCAGAUCCCAUCAAUUUGGGGUUCAACGGUGGAGUCUUAAAAUCUUCCAACAUUGAACAUUCUUUUCUUUUUUCUUUUUUCGUUCCUUUUUAAACAUCUGGAGAAGGGAGCUAGACAAGAAGCAAGUGUAAAUUUCAAUGCAUGAAAUUGAAAACCAAAUACAAAUGCUUGUCCGUUGCUAAAAGAGCAUGGCGACUCUCAUGAUGAACUUAAUGGACCAUUAUUUACAUUGAAAAAAAAUCGAAACAAAAAAUCCAAUAAUCAGAAUUGUAAUACAGAAAUCCAUAUUAUGAAAAAAAAAAUCCAUAUUGUAAUCCAACCAAUCUCGUAUGCUUCGUUUAGACUGCUACGGAUUCCAUAUUGCCUUUUCAUCAUCAUCUUUUGGGCAUCCCCCUUCACCCCAUACUUGCAAAGGGCAAUAUCACAACAACAUUGCCAUGAGCAGCAGCAACAUUUUUAUGCCAAGAUCCACAUGAAGAUUGUCGACCAUACUGUCAGAGACAACACUGCAAACAGGUAAGUCCAUAGGAGGAGGACAGAACAUUCCUCUUGUGCCACAUCAACGAGCUGUGUCAUGGUGCCUGCAUCAAUAUCACAACUUUCAUCAAUUUUGAUUCUUGAUUUGAUUAGAGUCCAAGUAGCAUAGUAUCAAAUGAACCAAUGCAUGGUAAAGAAAAUUUCAUUUUUGAAUUUUUUGUUGAAUGCUUAAAAUCAUCGUUUUAGGGAUAUUGUUGAGCAGGUCAUGAAAGUUUUUGCAUGCUCUGAAGACAUGACCAAGUAGUUUAAAAGUCAAAUAGGGAACAUCCUGGAGAAUAUUGCAAAUGUGAUUGAGUUCCAUACCAAUAUUCAUGGCAGGCGGCAGAGUAUAUUGAAUCAGCAGCACAAAAUGGUAGAGAGGAUCUGGUGGAAGGAAGCCGAAAUGAGUGGCUGCUUUAACUACACCAAUUCCAAUACCAGGAAGCAGUAUGUAUCGCACGCAGAUGACUGCAACGAUGAUCGGUGGCUUCAAUCUUGCCUUGCGUAAGCCUAUUCAAUUAAUAAAAAUUGUUAGAAGAGUUUUGAAUACGCCCACAAAAUUGCUUAUUGUAUUAGAACCGGGGUUAAGAUCUUCUCACCCUGUAUCAAGUUCCCUCCGAGGAUAAGAAUAAUGCAAGGUAUGGUUCCAUCGCUACAAAGUCAGCCAAUUUAAAGUGAGUUUUGUGGAAAACCAAAACAAACAAAAAAAAAAAACACGCGAAUCAAUAACAGAAGCAGUGUUCAGGGUCAAUGUUAUUAACAUCUAAUAUCAUAGUGAAACUGUGGAAUUACUGAGCAGCAUUCAGUUCGAUUACAUACCCAAGUAAUGCGAUAGAGUCUUGAAUGACAUGGAGUGGGGCAUUGUCACCAAUUAUGAGAUUUCUCAGCCAUGUAAUUGCACCAAAGAUUAAGCCUAUUAUCUGGAAUACAAUGGAACAGUUAUUAAGCAAUAUAGCCUCAGAAUGACAGAACUAAAAUUGAGAACGAUGCUAAUACAAAAGGGUUGUGAGUUCUACCGCUGCAAGUGUUGCAGGUGUCAUUAACUCCUCUAGUAUCUGGUAUACGAUUCCAAAUAAUUUGGUCCAGAACGAUGCAUUUUGCUGUUUUGACUUGAAAGAUGAUCCUUGAGAAACAACCUACAGGAAACAUGUAAACUUUGGGUAACUAUAACGAGAGUAGUCAGAGAACCAAAGCUCAUGGAGCAGGGGUCUCACAUCUAUUAAUUUGCAUCUCUUCUACAUGAACUCACAUUUUGGUUUUUCACAUCGUCUUCGGUAGGUUCUGUUGAAUCUACAGAUACAGAGACAUGCUCUUGAGCAUUGGCCUCAAGAAGUUGAGACUUCUCAUCUGCAUCCAAAUCUUUGUUGGGUUCUGCUAAGGUCUCCACCCAAGCAGCCUUUUCAGCUUCGUAUUUGCGUGCGGAGUUUUUUAUUAAAUGGUAAGUGUAGGUCCAUAUGUAAAUACCACCAAGCUACAAAAAUCAGUAAUAAACAAGGACUCAGACGAAGAGCAUUCAUAAUUUUUUAUUCAAUGCCACCAAUAAUGUGAAUCGAAAAUAUGACUAUUUCCUAAUUUCCUGUGAAAUGAAGUCUUGGUGGAAAUUCAGGCCCAGAGACAUUAUUCUUUCCGGUUAAUACUUUGCGUCUGAGAAUCUGUGAUACAUGAUUUAUCACAUAGUUCAGUGCCCAAGAGAUGAUCUUACCGCCAUAGAGAAGGAGGCGUAUGAGAGUCCAAUAGUAGAGCAAGUCUUAUGAUCGCCAAAUGGGCUGCCAUCCUCUUUACAGAUUGCUGGAACAAUUAUCAGCAGAAGGUUUCCCAAGUUUCCUGUAUAUUAUUUUACUGUCAUAUUCUAGAAGCUGGAGACAUUGAGAAGCCUAACACAAGAAAUUAUAAGGCUGACAAAUUGGAAAUACAGUUACCUGAUGAACAUGUAGCAAUGACAAGACCCUCUAAAUGGGGCCUUGGUUUCACUAGUUUGACAGCAAUCCACCCAAGUAUUCCUCCAAAGAGAAAGGUCAAGCCAAUAUUGACAGGCAUAAACCACCUGUACAAACAUAAUUAUGAAAUUUUAUGGUAAAAUGGAUCUUAGAAAGGUCAGCAUUUAUUGACCACAUGUAAGUCAUUCCCCUUUUUAUCCUAGGAGCUUUCUUCAAGUUUAUUUACACCACGUAAAUUGAUUGAUAAGUGAAUGCAUAAUGAUGUACAGUAAAGAAUGAAUCAUACCAUGAGAUAAUGUCAUCAAGGGUGACAGUCUUGGCCAAACUUGCAAACAUCAGUGAGGGAGUAAACACCAUAAACACAAUCUGCAAUGGUCCAUUAUAAAACUUUACCACCAAAUCUCAUUUUUUGUGAAUGACCGUAACAAAAGAAAAUGAACCCGUAAAGGAACACAAACAAUGUAAGUCAGCAUUACCUUGUUUAAUGAUUUUCGAGCAUCAGCAGGCAGAAGAUUUAGAUGUUCAGUUGCCAUGACAGCUCCCAAUACACUUAUGAGGAGCACCUGGAUGAUUGGCAUGGAAGCCACCUCAAGCAAAGUCCAGAAGCCCAUCUCUUUGUUUAUUUUACUUGACAAAAGUCUCCGAAAUCAAAGAAUGUACAACAACUGAGAUGGGUUCUGGCUCUUUUCUUGGCUGGCCUUUCAGUCAGCUGCUAAAUAUACGGCUGACUGAUAAAGGCGGUACACCUCUAGUAGAAAAGAAGGAAGAUCCUGUAAGCCACCUGCAAAAUUAGUAAAGAAAAAUGCCAAUUUGAUACAUCAACCCCAAGAAACAAAAACAAAAUAUAUAUAAAGGAUUCUACGACUUCAUAACAUUUCUCAAAGGGUGCAUAUGUAUAUGCAGCCAUCAUCUUGCUGGUUCAUUUUGUAUUUUUCUUAUUCUCUUUCCUGCUGAUUGAGAAUGUGCUCAGUUAAGGAAACAGCCAUGAAAUUUACCAGUCCUGUCUGCACCUGGGUUUAGUGUUUGUAACUUUCUACUGUUUUCUUUUGCACUUAUUGGCAAAAACCUGGUGAAAUCUGUGUUCUGGAGGGCUGCAUAUAUAGCCUUUUACAACCUUAAUUUGUUUAUUCAAACAUCAAUUUUUCAAUUUCAAUUUCUCUUUCAUUCUCCAGCAAGGAUGACACAACAUAAUGAAUUGGGUGAAAUUGAAAUCGAAAUUAAUAAAUCGAGUGAGAGAUGCAGUAGGGCCUAACAGACAUAGCCGACGUCAUUUAAUAUUUGUCCACUCAUAAUUUGCGUCCAAACAAAAUUCUUCAAUAUUUAACUAACAACCUAAUCUGCAAAAUGCCAAUCCAAUAGAUUUAUGUGGCCACAAUUAGGAAGGCAGGGAUGAUUAUAAUCCAAAAGAACUUAUAAUAAACCAAAUUAAAAUAUUGAACAACAGUGAAUAAGAACAAAAGAGUUAACAUUCCAGCCGCAAUUCUACUUUCAUGCAAAUCCAAUCAACACGUAUCCUACAUGGAACCAACCAGAAACAACCCCAAAAAAACCCAGAAAAAUCAAUGAUCUUUAAACCAAAUAAAACAAGAAAAAAAAUUACUUCAAAUGAUGAUGAUAAGCAUAUGAGCUUCAUGCUUCUUAUGAUUAGUGAGAGCUCAGAUGCUUCAAAAAAAAAGGUGACAGAAACGAAGUUAAAAAAGAAUGAUUUGGACGUUGAAGUACCAAAAUCUACGUGGGGUUUUAGCAAAGUUCAAGGUUAUAAAGACAAGAAGAAAUGCAAAACAUCAAGACAAAGAAACGAACCUGGAAUCAAAUAUGGGUUGAGAAAAAUGACAUGAAAUGAUAUUACAGCCUAAGAUAGAAGAAAGGUUGGAGGAGAAAUGCAGAGGAGGAUUUAAGGAUGCACGCUCCUUCGCCAUUGAUCACCUAGGAUUACGCUCAAUAUGCUUAUAUAUACAUGGCUGCACAAUAAUACGUCGACACCUACUGUUGGUUGUUUUGUCAUUGUACAGGCAUAUCUGGUGCUGUAAGCACAUACCUAAAUAUGUUGUCGUCCACUCCCCAAUUAUAUGGAGGACUCUAGAGGAUUUUCUUUUCUUUUCUUUUUUUUUUUUUGGGUGGGAGGGAAAAAUAUAGGGAAGGAAAAAGCAUGAUUGGUUCGUGCUAAGAUGAAUGAUUGGAUAGGACCCGUUUACCAUGUAUUUGUGUGAGUGUGUAUAUACGUGGUUUUUUCAUCAUCAACUUUUGUUGUACAAAAGUAGAAAUGGAAAGUAUGAGCACAGCGGCCAUGUUGUACAAAUAGGAAGGUUCUCACCUUCCUGGCAAGAAGACAAUUUGUUAGGGGACCAUUCUUGAAAAUUCUAUCAAAAUUGAUGUUGUGCUGAAAAGGCAAAUUAGAUUGAUAAACAACAAACUUUGACUCAAUUUUGUCGGAUUAAGGGAAUUGUACCUGGAUUUGAAGGAAUAGUUGGACAAUUUGUUAUGAGAAGGAACCGACGAGUGAAGAUUUAUUUGAUCAUAUGAGUUGCCUUUUAUCAACUUCCACGUUUCCAUAUAGAUAGGUGGAGCUGGGAAACUUAUUUGGAGGAGAAAACUUUACAAUCACAAAGUGCUCGUACUAUAAUGUUCCAAGAAUUUUGCGGGGACAAAAUACGAAUAUUUUUCAAAUGUUUAAGGGGUCAAAAUAAAAUUUCUUGUCUUAUCAGGGUGGAUUGGCAUGUUCUUCAAGUACGGCUCCAUAGCACGACUUUGAGCAGUUCUUCUCGAACACCUCUAGUUGGAUUAGCGGAAAACUUUCCAAUGGCAUGCAUCACAAUUUUUAUUUUUAUUUUUAUUUUUGGAGUAUACGGCAAAUUGAUUACUAAGGUAGGAUUUGGAAAUAAAAAAAAAUGCUUGAGGAAGGUGAUUGUUUAUAAUUCUUGUCUGUUGAUAAGGGAUUGGCACAUGUUUUCUCUACAAUUAUUGUUGAAGGCUGGCAAGAAUAGCAGAACAGUUUGCCUUUUAAUUUCAGAACGUGUUUUUGAUAGUAAUAUUUAUGGACCAGCCGGGUCUUAUGUGGGGGCGUGGGAUACAUCCCACAUAUGUUCAAUUUGGAAUUGUUAGAAUAUGAUAAUUACGUCUUUGAUUGCCAACUCGUCAUCUACUAAGCUUUAACUGUCCAAUAAAAAGAACCCAGUCAGCAAUUUCUGCAGUAUGUGAAUAGGAAGAAGAAGUAUCCCAAAUUGCAUCUUACGCCAGCCACUUGUCAUUUUCUAUCCCACUUUAGUCUCAAGCCAAGCCAACCAGCUGUGCCUAUUUGGUUCUUGCUCUCGUUAUGAUUUAGACUCAUCUCAAUUGGUAUUACACUAAAUCAACUCGUCUUGCAGAAUUUGGCCACCAGAUAAAAUCAUAUGUUGCUUUUUUUUUUUUUCCCUGGUCUGGUGGAGGAGUAUUCUGGAAUCACCCAAACUAAUCCCGCAAACUGCCCCAAAGAUAAAAUCAUAUGUUACUUACGGUUAUAAUAAUAUGCCGCUUGCUCUAAGAUCUAGAGGGUGUCUAUAAUUUUUUUACCACUCUGAUCUAAAAGUGGGUUUUAGAAGGAAAAGUGCAAAUAUUGCCGUGAAAGAUUUUGAAGCCUCCGAAAACCUUCAUCAUGCUAUGAAAAGUGACAGAAUCAACAAUUGCAUACCAUUCGGAAUUAUUGAGGCUUUUAAGUUGCUGGAAAGGGGUUUUGUGUGAUUUUGUGACGAAUGAUUUUGAAGACACAGAAGAUCUUAAUCAUGAAAGUCAAAGAAAUACUAAGGUGGCGUUUGGUUCGCAUGUUGGAAUCAGAUUCGGAUUCGGAAUCAUUCAUCCUGGAUUUGGAAUCAACUCGUCUUGCAGAAUUUGGUCACCAGAUAAAAUCAUAUGUUGCUUUUUUUUUUUCCCUUGGUGGAGGAGUAUUCUGGAAUCACCCAAAUUAAUCCCGCAAACUGCCCCAAAGAUAAAAUCAUAUGUUACUUACGGUUAUAAUAAUAUGCCGCUUGCCCUAAGAUCCAGAGGGUGUCUAUAAUUUUUUUACCACUCUGAUCUAAAAGUGGGUUUUAGAAGGAAAAGUGCAAAUAUUGCCGUGAAAGAUUUUGAAGUCUCCGAAAACCUUCAUCAUGCCAUGAAAAGACAGAGAGUCAACAAUUGCAUACCAUUCGGAAUUAUUGAGGGCUGGAAAGGGAUUUUGUGUGACGAAUGAUUUUGAAGACACAGAAGAUCUUAAUCAUCAUGAAAGUCAAAGAAAUACACUACUAAUCUGUUAUAAUGAUGGUUCACGUUGAUUGAUCAUGGAAUUCCUGCUACUGCCAAGUGCCAAUACCGGAUUUUCCGAAACAUAUAGAGAAUAUCUCCAAGAAACUUGGAAAAUGAUUCUUGGGGUAGCCACCGAAUUUCGAGUGAAAGAAUCAGCCAAAUUAGCUAGGCACGUUCAAAGGCAGAUUUCAUGACAAUUCCGGGUAAGGAAGCAUGGUAAAAAAAAUCAACCUGUCUUUUCUGGGAUAAAUUAAAUUCGCAAUAGGACGGUGCAUCGUAUAUAGAGUAUAUAUAUAUAUAUAUAUAUAUUUUUUUUUUUUCAUUUUUCAAAACACAAGCAAGCCAGGGCAUGAAAAUACAUUCCUGUCUUUUCAGGGAUAAAUUAAAUUCGCAAUAGGACGGAUGUGAUCCUUAGUUGUCAUGUCGGAGUUCGAUUACGUCCUUUCAUCAACUACAAGGAGGAGCCGCUGGCGCUUGAAGUUCCUAUUGGUGAUGAAAUGGAAUCCCCGUUCUGAAUGAUUAUUCUUUUGACUAUGAUGUCGCUUCCACCUCUCUCUUUUUUUUUCCACAAUUCAAACUUCUCAGCUUUGGAGAAAAUGUGGAGAGCAAAGACGAGUGGCCCAAUAGAUUCUACAAAAAAGAGAAAAUGUAUGAACCACAGAAAAAGGUGGCAAAAAGAAAAGGUCUGCACUCUCAAGCAUGAUAAAAGAAUUUAGGGCUUUUGGCAAAAAAGUAUUUUUGAGAUAUUUGAUGAACAUCAUUUCAUAAAAUUAAAAGUGGAGUUUUUGAUGUUAAAAGUAUUUUUAACAAAAGUUUAAAUUUGAUGUUUUUAGAAUAAUUUUUAUAUUUUAGAAAAAAUUAAACAUUAAAUUUAUUCAUUUUAUCCUAUGUUGUGAACUAAAUAAAAAGAUAAAUAUAUUUCAAAAAAAAUUCAAAUUACACAUGAUUCAAUACACUAAGGGCCCAUUUGAGACUGUCGUAACUUAUUAAAAAAUAUUUCACCAAUCGAGCUUUUAAUAAAAAUAUUUAUUAAGUGUGUAAGUGCCUUUAAAUAUAUUGUUUGGAUAUAUAAUUCAAUAAUUACUUAUUGUAUUAGACAAUGUGUAAUUCGAAAGUUUUUAAAUGUAUUUAUCUCUUUAUUUAAUUUAUAAUAUAGGAUAAAAUAAUUAAAUUUAAUAUUUUAUUUUUUUAAAUCACAAAAUCUAUUUUAAAAGCACCAAAUUUUAUGAGUUGAUCCUCGUCAAACGCCUCAAAAUACUUUUAGCUUUGGCCCUUGGACCGCAAAAGUUGUACUAGCCUUGCCCCUUGGGUUCAUUAAAGCGAUACAUUUUGCCUCUGAGAUUCAGAAUUACGAAAUUACCACAGGAGACUCACCCGGAAGCCUUAAGCACAACCAUCUAAAGUCUAAACUAUGAAGAGGAAACCCGGUUUGGAAUAAAGCUUGCAGUUGCUUUGUGCUUUUUCAAUGGUUAAUAUUAUUAUUAUAUCCAUACUCAUUUUAAUUUUUUUUUUACAUUUUCUACUGUAUAUGCUUUUGAAUUGACUUAAAAAUUAUUAAAAUAAAGUUUAAAAAAAAAAGGAAAAAAAAACUAAGGUUCAUAGUGCCAUUAUCAUCAUCACCAUAGUUAUUAGCACUUGACAAUUUGUUUGGAUUGUGAAUUAUUAGAGAUAUUUUUACUGUAGCACUUUUUGUGAUGUGAUGUGUGUGAGAUAAAAAGGUAAUUGGGAAGAUAAAAAGGUGCAUUGGAAAUUGUAAUGAUGAUGUAAGCAAAUAUAUUUUGACAAAUAAACCGCAAUCCAAACAAUUUGCUGAGAAUUCUGCGCUAACUCAGUUAUAUUUUCACAUGCUACAAGCAAAGAAUUAGCAAGCUUGCCUCCGACAAUCAUGUGUUGUCAUUCUUUAAUUUAUCUGUAAAUGAAAAGUAGUACCCAAAAAUCAUUUUCUGUAAAAAGAAAACUUAUUAUAUUUUCUGUGAACACAUUUUUAAUUACUUUUUUUUUGUCUCAUAUACAUCAAUUCAUUACGGCACAUUUAUUACAAAAAGCCUUAAAAAUAGCAAUUGUGGAAUCAAAUAAUAAAAUACCCACUCCCCCUCCCCCAAAAAACACAAAAAAAAAAAAAAUGUAGGCUAGACCUCUUCCUUUUUCUGACCCUGAGUGUAGUUAAUAUGCACAUGGAGAACUGUUGUAUCAUGAUCUCCCAAAAUCAUUGCCGACCAAAACUUGAUGUGAUUCAUCCUAAGUAUUAUUUAGAGGAGCUCCAAUCAUCAGUGACUCACUCGAUUAUCAUGAUUUGUGUGGCCAAUUAAGGGAAAACCAUUGUGGCUUCUUUUUUCCUCGUCAACCUUCCAACUUGGUUUGUAAUUCGAUACACUGAAUACUAGCUAGGGGUCAAUUGCUUGAUCACGCCAUUUAGGAAUCCAAAUUCAAUCAGCAUUACAACAUGUUUCACGUUCAUAUCAUUGUUUUGAAUCCGUCCAUAAUUUAUCAAGGAGACUUUAAUCUAAUGAUGAUUAAGAUCGAGAUUUCAAAAUUUAAAAGUUUUGGAUACAAAUCACUUUUACCCCUCUCCACGUCGUGAUCCUCUAUUUGAUGCGUGCAUCCACCUAAGAUUUACUGAAUUUCUUUUAUUCCGGUCAAAUCACCUAUUAUGCGUCUUUUUCAAUCAUUUUUUAAAAAAAAAACUUUUUUCACGGCCUAUCUUCUAUUACUGCUUUGUUAUGUUACCCAAUAAUUAAUUAAUUAAGGCCGUAGUUUUCUUUCUCUUCUGUCCUUUUUGGCUAAAUAAUUUGGAAGGUAGUUUAACUUGAGGAAGGCUUUAGCGACGCAAGUUGAGAAAUCAUGCGGGCGACGUCAGUUGCGUAGAACCAAGACCACUAGGCCCCACACCCACAGCUUCGUAUAUGCCAAUGUCGUAUUUGCAACUUGCAAUCAGCUUGCGUGCGCAGACUCGCCGCUGCACCAUUUUACUACAACUAAUAAAAAAACUCAGUCAAGUUGAAGCACAUCCAAUCUUCUUCUCUCCUUCCUUUUUUUGGUAUUUUUAUUGACGAGUACCUGUUUGGAAAGUAAUUUUUCAAAGAAAAAUUAUUACAUUUUUUAAUAAAUAUAUUUUUAAUUAUUUUUUUACAUAACAUAUAUCAAAUUGUUACAGUAAUUUUUUUUAUAAAAAAUUUAAAAAAAUGCAAUCCAAUACAAGAUCCUUUUUUGCUGCUGUUGUUUUAAAUUGGGUGGGAACCUUUCUUUUUUUUUUUUAGCUUAACGGCACAUCUAGUCUAGCUUAGCCUACUCCUACUCCUAAGGGGAGGGGAAGCCUACUCUAUGGGGUGGCCCAACUAAGCUGGGGGGAACCUGAUGGGGACUGAACCACCAUCAGGCCAGACGGAUGCACCACACACCCGUAUGAAUUUAGAACAAACCUCAUUUUGAGGGACAUUGAUGGGAGGCAAGGUUUGAACCCUUGACCUCCGGGUGGAAACCUUUAAGGCAAUAAAAUUGGUUCGCAUGCAACACUCACAAUAAUUGGCUAUGCAUUGAAGAACGAGCUCGCCGGUGUUAUUGCAAAUUUGUAUACCGCAGAAAUUUUUUUUUGUUAAAAUAUUAAAAUUAUCAUCCUAGGGUCAAAUCAAACAUCAUUUAUUGCAAAUUGACUUGAGCGGAAUAGAUCGUCACCAUGUUUUGUUUUGUUGUUCCAUUAUAUUUAGCAAACAAAUUAGUCACUUUUCAAAAGUCACACAACACAACUAUUAAUAAUCACCUUUCUCAAUCACUGCAGUUGCGUUUUUUGGGGUAUUUUAGAAUUUUUUAAAAUUAUUUUUGGUGUGUUUUUAGACAUUUCUGGGGUAUAUUAGGAUAUUUUUAGCAUUUUUCUUAUACAUACAUAUAUAUAUUACUAUGUAUUCCAAAAGGAUAAUCAUUUGAAUUACAUAACAAGAUGUAUUACCUUGUACGAUGUCCCAUUUGGAUUGGUUAUUUUUUUAAAAAUAAGUUUUUUAAAUAUAAUGUUACAGUAAUACACGAAUAAAAAUAGCUCAAAAAACAUCUCAUUCAUACAAUAUAUCAAAUUUUUUAAAAAAAUAUUUAGAAUAAAAGUUUUUCAUAUACACUGCUACAGUAUUUUUUUUCAAAAAUAGCUAAUCCAAACGGAGUGUGAAAAACAGCUGAUUUUUCUGUCUCUUCAUUUCGUACCAAUGCUCGUUCCAAAAAUGUGUUCUGUUAAGAUGUUCCGUUACCUCCCCAUGAAUGAUGUAGUCUGCUGCUCAUAAUAGUCAACAGAAACAUAUAAUCUAGCCUUCGGCGGUCUUUUGUGGACCGUUACAUUACUCCUCCGUUUGCUUUAAAGUCCAGACCCAGAAACUUCAUCCGAGUUGGUUUGGUUAAGCCCUUUGAUUGGAAAGAACUAAUUCAAUGCCGUUCAGCCAAGCAACUGUAGUGUUGGUGUUAUCAACCGACCCACACAUGACAGUGGCAUCUAUCUGCAGAUGUAUAGUAUUGUCAUUGGUCACGAAAGGAAUAAAAAAAAAAAAAGAGGAAAUUUUGGCACCACAAUUUUAGCUUUUAAAAAUAUACGAUUCUGAGUUUUUUUUUUUAUUUUUAUUUUUGAAAUCCUAUUCUAUUACAUGGGACAUGAUUAUUAGAGUCUCUGGCGGAUUAAUCACGAUACCAACAAAAACGCGUUCAUUUCAGAUCCACGUCUUGUGAUGUAUACACAUUUCAGUAUUUCAAUUUUCAACCUUACAUCAUCAAACUCGCCCAUAACCUAAGGUUCCCUUUCCCGGAAUACUGAUAAUUAAUUGUCACUAGUCUGGCUUAACUUGGUCGGCUGGCCAACUUUGGCGUGGGCUGGCUUCGUCUAGGGGAGUUUUAAUGUGAACGAUACAGGGAAGAAAAAGAAAAGUUUUCUAUUGCGUUUGACGCGUCAAAUUUGAAAAGAAUUUGAAUUGAGCUGUUUUUGAAGAAUAUCCGAUUUAAAUUAGACCCGCAAUUUCAAGCAUAUAUCUCUUGAAUUGGCUAAGAUGGUAAAAUUGAUGUCAUACCUUCCUAUCAAUCCGAGUACAAACUUCUCCUAGGACAUCUGUCCGUCGCAUAGGGCUUGUUUAGUGAAUCUUACCCUUUGUAUGGUUGGCAGACUAUUGUACAGGAUAGGGUUUAUUCAGUGCGUAUUCUCAAAUAGCGGUUGCGAGUUUUCUUAUCAAUAAGCAAAAAAAUAAAGUAUGAAUACAUAUCUCUUAAUCUCAAAUUGAAUUUGAAUUUGAAUUUUUUUUACGUAUGUGACAUAUAUUCAUACCUCUUAUUUUAUUUAUUAUUAGUGUGUAUAAGAUCAAUUUUAUUAUAUCUUUACUUGAAUAGUUUUUUUUUCUGGGGUUCCCCUAAGGUUUGUACAUUUUGAAGCCACAAAAAAAAAAAAAGAAAAAAAGAAACGUCCCACUGAAAAGUGGAAGUGGGCCUUAAGGACAUGGGACAUGACGUAUCAAGAAAUACAUGCGAACUGGUUAUAAUUGAGAUGUGUCGUUUUCAAAAGAGGAAAACUUCAGAUUGGGCUAGUUUUGAACUUGCAUACACAUGGUUGGAUUUAUGUCAUUGAUGGUUCCAGUUGCCAAGCAUCCGCAACGAAACACUGUCCACGUUGUCCAAAAACAUUGGCCCAUGAAGGUGAUAUGUUGCGAACCCAUCGUCACAUUUACUUCCCGUAUAAUAAAGAGUGAUUAGGCCCAUAGCAUUGAUUUUCCUGAUAGCCCAUCGACACGUCCCAUUGUACUUGCCGCAUGAUACGUUAGUGAUUAGGCCAUGGAAACAAGCGUUUGGGUUCUUCAUGACCUUGCAGUUCCAGCUCCACACUUGGAUACCAACCCUUCAGCCUGCUGGUCGCCGUCAAGCGUUUAAGUCUUGAUAGCGUUGGGCGCCUCCCAUCAAAUUGUCACUAUAUAUAACUGUUUUCAGUGGCUUUAUCCGAUGAAAUUUCUACUCCCUAUAUAUAACUGUCUUCAGUGGCUUUAUCCGAUGAAAUUUCUACUCCCAUCAACUCUUCUUCCCCUUAGAUUAACAUAGAUUAGGUUAUAAGAAUGUUACCAUUGCGACAAAAAAAAAAGAAAAAAGAAAAAAGAAAAAAGCUCCAGACUUGGACAACUAGCACGUAAAUGCAUCUCUUAAUCCAUUUUCACGAUUCUUAUGCCAUAAUACCACUUCUCCCCAAAUCAUAUGGCUUGAGCCGUUGUCCCGUUGGCUCAGCCACAAACAGUUUUUUAGCCCUUUGAUCAUCGAGUUCUAAUGAUCGUCUAUUUGAAAGCCAAUUCUCAAUCUUGGGGGGAAUGCUUGAGAAGGCUUUUGUCGCUAGAUCAACCCAUGUUUACAACAUCAUUGUAAAACAAACCAACAAAUUGUCAUGAACAAUAUCAUUUUUGCAAAAUCAUGAACAGUCUUGACUAUAGAAUAGCAAGAAAUGUUCCUGUGUGCUAAUGAAUGGUCAUCAUUUUAGACGAAGCAAAUUAUCAAGUAUAAUCCACAUCCAUUUAGAUUCUUUGUAAUGUCUUGGAAUAUCUUUCUUUGACAGGAAACAUCUUGUUGGCCACAGCAACAUCCAACAAUAUCCAAUUCGAUAGUUAGAACACAAAUGCGAGUAACAGAAAGCUAUAGAUAAUGCAAAGUGAUGCUAGCGAGUAGCAUAUGUCAAAUGCAUAGUAUCAUCAUAUGGAAGCUUCGAGUUCGUCUGGGGUUACUGCAGCUCCAUUUGGGGCAUCAUCA
rnacentral:lncRNA from 1 species